rnacentral:rRNA from 1 species
CACGUAGGGUGCGAGCGUUGUCCGGAAUUAUUGGGCGUAAAGAGCUCGUAGGUGGCUUGUCGCGUCUGCCGUGAAAAGCCCAUGGCUUAACUGUGGGUCUGCGGUGGAUACGGGCAUCACUGGAGUUCGGCAGGGGAGACUGGAAUUCCUGGUGUAGCGGUGAAAUGCGCAGAUAUCAGGAGGAACACCGGUGGCGAAGGCGGGUCUCUGGGCCAUUACUGACACUGAGAAGCGAAAGCAUGGGGAGCGAACAGG